UCUGCCUGGAGUGGAGUUGUAGGGGUGGCUGCUGGGUCACAUGUGCAUCAGCAGGCGGCAGAGAGGAGAGAGGCUAUCUGUGCUCAAUGUUCUGACCUAUGAACAUCUGAAUGAUUAGUAGCCUAACAUU
ensembl:snoRNA LOC120095451 small nucleolar RNA SNORA17